GACGAACGCUGGCGGCGUGCCUAAUACAUGCAAGUCGAACGCACAGUUUAUACCGUAGCUUGCUACACCAUAGACUGUGAGUUGCGAACGGGUGAGUAACGCGUAGGUAACCUGCCUGGUAGCGGGGGAUAACUAUUGGAAACGAUAGCUAAUACCUCAUAAUAUUAAUUAUUGCAUGAUAAUUAAUUGAAAGGUGCAAUUGCACCACUACCAGAUGGACCUGCGUUGUAUUAGCUAGUAGGUGAGGUAACGGCUCACCUAGUCGACGAUACAUAGCCGACCUGAGAGGGUGAUCGGCCACACUGGGACUGAGACAAGGCCCAGACUCCUAAGGGAGGGAGCAGUAGGGAAUCUUCGGCCAUGGACGAAAGUCUGAACGAGCCACGCCGCGUGAGGGAAGAAGGGUCUCGGAUCGUAAAGAUCUGUUGUAAGAGAAGAACGGGUGUGAGAGUGGAAAGUUCACACUGUGACGGUAUCUUACCAGAAAGGGACGGCUAACUACGUG
rnacentral:rRNA from 1 species